rnacentral:lncRNA from 10 species
GGAGCGUUAGAGAUGGAGACUAACGUCUUCCAAGGGAGAUUGCGUCUCCACUUUCACCCUGGUACUGAGAGGUUGAGCACAAAAUUGGAACGCAGUCGCGGGGUAUAUCCCCCUGAAAACCGUACGUUGCCAAAUAAUGAUUUCUUUGGAUUAGAGAACUACAACUCCCCUGGGUCCUGAGCCGGUAUUUCCCUUUUGCGGCUGCACCGUAGUUAAAAACAAAGCUAAGUGUUCUGGGACGUAUAGUUCUAGCGUUCCUUGGGUCCCGCUGGCGAGCGUGGGCUUUCUGCAGCUCGCAACCGGCCUCGUGCUUUGCGGACGGUUCACUGCGCUUGGAAAGGGAUUGGCCUGGGGUACAUCAUCUAAAGAUCCUAGGAUUGCUGCAGGUCAGCAGUCUCCACUGGAAAAAAAGAUCUUGCAUGUAUUUCAAGUCCUCUGAUGAAUCAUGUGAUCUACUAGACCCUGAAGAUACAGUGAAGAGCAAAAGAACACAGAUGAAAUGAGAAACAAAAACGAUGGAGAAAACCAAAAAAGGGGACACAUGGGAUCCAGGCAAUAGGAGAGCCAGCAUAAGAGAGAGCCAGAGGGAUGCCCAGGAUGAGGUGAAGACGAUCUUGGAAAUCAGCCCAGAUGUGCAUGCACCAGUCCACGUGUGGCAGGACCAAGGGAAGUGUCUUCACAAAGAUGAGGCUUUGAUUUGUUGGAGAAACUGUUACCAGAAAAACAGGUCCCGAUCCCGACCCCAAAAGAGUAUUCUUGGAUCUUGCACAGGAAGGAAUUAAAGGGAAGUAAGAAGUUACAGCUCAGUGCACCAUGAAGUUGAGACAGAGAUGGAGACAUCCCAGCACCACUUCUCUGGAACAGGAAAGGUGAUCGGGGAAGGA